rnacentral:rRNA from 1 species
CUAGCCGUAAACGAUGGAUACUAGGUGUUAGAGGUAUCGACCCCUCUAGUGCCGGAGCUAACGCAUUAAGUAUCCCGCCUGGGGAGUACGGUCGCAAGACUGAAACUCAAAGGAAUUGACGGGGGCCCGCACAAGCGGUGGAGCAUGUGGUUUAAUACGUCACUAACCGUAGAACCUUACCCAGGCUUGACAUCUGGAGUAAGUCCAUGAAAGUGGCACCCCUGUAUGGUAACAUACAGCUCCAAGACAGGUGU